rnacentral:rRNA from 1 species
GACGAACCGUGCGAACGUUGUUCGGAAUCACUGGGCUUAAAGGGCGCGUAGGCGGGCUGCCAAGUCUGGGGUGAAAUCCCACGGCUCAACCGUGGAACUGCCUCGGAUACUGGCGGCCUCGAGGGAGGUAGGGGCGUGCGGAACUGUGGGUGGAGCGGUGAAAUGCGUAGAUAUCUGGAGGAACACCGGUGGCGAAGGCGGCAUCCUGGACCGACACUGACGCUGAGACGCGAAAGCGUGGGGAGCGAACCGG